AUGAGCUGCAGUGUUCUCUUCUAUGUUUUCCUAUGUCUCCUGGGGGCAGCACUCACAAACACUAAAAUUACCCAGACACCAAGAUAUCUGGUUAUGGGAAGAGCAAGUAAGAAGUCUUUGAAAUGUGAGCAACAUCUGGGACAUAAUGCUAUGUACUGGUACAAACAGAAUGCUAAGAAGCCUCCAGAGCUCAUGUUUUUGUACAACGUUAGAAAACUGAUUGAAAACACGACUGUGCCCAUUCGUUUCUUACCUGAAUGCCCGGACAGCUCCCAUUUACUCCUUCACAUGUCUGCCCUGGAGCCAGAAGACUCAGCUGUAUACUUUUGUGCCAGCAGCCAAGACACAGCCCUGCAGAUUCAUCAGCUCUCUGUGCACAAACCUACAAGUUCAGGAAGCUGUGGGGCAGCUGAGGGCUCCACUGAACAUUUCAUGUAG